AAUUUUAAUUUAAAUACAUUGUUUUCAAAGCAUAAUGUUUAAACAACAUGUGUUCUUGUCAAGUGAGAAUUUCAGUUAGACAUCUAGUUCCCAAGAUCGCGCCAUUUUCCGCCUUAAAAACGAUAAAAAUUACUGUACGCCAUCACUGUAUAUCUUCAAAAAAUGGUCUGAAAAGUAAAUAUUUUUUUUACUUUUACCCUUAUUGAGCAUAUUUUUAAUGGAAAUUGUGCUUUUACGUUACACUGUGCGGCGUUCCUUCGUUAAUGUUUUAGUUCAUGACGAAAUGUGUAUUUUAUUUUAAAAUUGCAGUCUUGUGUAGGGUAUUUGCGAAUUAAUGACUCGUUUAAGUGGAUUCCUUACAAAGUAUUGCAAAUAAAUGAGUCUUUUGAAUCGAUUCUUUACGAAGCAAAUGGGCCAACAACGGUUUGAAUUGGUUCGCGAAUCAGUUUGAUUUGUUCAGAUCGCUUCAGAAACUGAAUCGUCUGAUGCGGUUUCAUCAAGAAACACGCAGAACAUUGGAUGACGUGAAUAUCAAUCUACUAUUAAAAGCGAAAACUUCACACGUGCACUCGCCAUAUGCGCGUGCUGUUUGCCGUCAUACACACGUGCGCAACCUCCACAGAAUGACGAAAAUCCACCAAUGAUUGACGUCUGAUUCGCUGCAUACUUUACUUGAAUUCAGCUAUACUUAUCCCCCACACCUCCUUGAAUCUCACAGCGCGCCAUCACUCUGCCAUUCUGCUGCAAUUCACUGUCAGUGUGUUCAAGGAAGUUUGAAAAAAAAAAUGCCCUAACAAAUACAACAACAAGAAGAGAGGCAGAGAAGGCAGUGUCCAAGUGGCUAAUCGGUGCCAGGGACAGGGGAGGUUAUCGCACUGCCAGGGCACGAGUUGGACAACAAGAUGGGGCCGUUGGUACAGUGACAACAGAGGAGUGAGGAGCUGCCCUAAUGUUGUUUUGUUUGUAUUAUUCUAUGCAGUUAAUUAGUUGAAGUUAAUUAAACUUUUUAAAGAGUUAAUUAAAGUGUUGCUCCACAAAAAAAGAAAAAAUUGUCAUAAAUUACUUUUCCUCAUGUCGUUCCACACCUGCAAGACCUUUGUUCAUCUUCAAAACACAAAUUAAGAUAUUUUUUAUGAGAUCAGUGAGCUUAAUUUGUGUUCUGAAGAUGAUUGAAGCUCGUAUGGGUUUGAAACGACAUGAGGGUGAGUAAUUAAUGACAAAAAUAAUAAUUUUAGGAUGAACCCUGCAAGUUUAACUUUUCUUUUUUUCAUUUUUAAUGUUGUGUUUUAUAAAGUUUUAAAUGUAAUCAAGAUCAAAUUGUUAAUAAAUUGUAAAAGUAAAGCAUG